rnacentral:rRNA from 1 species
GAGCACGUAGGUGGGUUUGUUAGUCAGAUGUGAAAGCUUUCUGUUCAACGGAAGAAUUGCAUCUGAAACUACAAACCUUGAGUAUAGGAGGGGAGAGUGGAACUUCUGGUGGAGCGGUGAAAUGCGUAGAUAUCAGAAGGAACGCCGGCGGCGAAAAGCGACUCUCUGGCCUAUAACUGACACUGUGUGUGCGAAAGCUAGGGGAGCAAACGGGAUUAGAUACCCCGGUAGUCCUAGCCGUAAACGAUGGGCACUAAGUAGAGGGG